rnacentral:lncRNA from 1 species
UCCAAAAAAGACCUCAAAGCGCUCCAAAUAUCCACUUGCAGAUCCUACAAAAAGAGUGUUUCAAAACUGCUCUAUCAAAACAAACGUUAAACUCUGUGAGUUGAAGGCACACAUCACAAAGUAGUUUCUGAGAAUGAUUCUGUCUAGUUUUUAUAUGAAGAUAUUUCCUUUUCCACCAUAGGCAUCAAAGUGCUCUAAAU